rnacentral:rRNA from 1 species
AUACGGUGGAUCCAAGCGUUAUCCGGAUUUAUUGGGUUUAAAGGGUGCGUAGGCGGACUGGUAAGUCAGCUGUGAAAGUUUGCGGCUUAACCGUAAAAUUGCAGUUGAUACUGUCAGUCUUGAGUGUGCAUGAGGUGGGCGGAAUUUGUGGUGUAGCGGUGAAAUGCUUAGAUAUCACGAGGAACUCCAAUUGCGAAGGCAGCUCACUGGGGCAUAACUGACGCUGAUGCACGAAGGUGUGGGUAUCAAACAGGAUUAGAUACCCUGGUAGUCCACACAGUAAACUAUGAAUACUCGCUGUUUGCGAUAUACAGUAAGCGGCCAAGCGAAAGCAUUAAGUAUUCCACCUGGGGAGUACGCCGGCAACGGUGAAACUCAAAUGAAUUGACGGGG